rnacentral:rRNA from 1 species
UACGGGGGGGGCAAGCGUUGUUCGGAAUUACUGGGCGUAAAGGGCUCGUAGGCGGCCAACUAAGUCGGACGUGAAAUCCCCAGGCUCAACCUGGGAACUGCGUCCGAUACUGGAUGGCUUGAAUCCGGGAGAGGUGAGUGGAAUUCCCAGUGUAGCGGUGAAAUGCGUAGAUAUUGGGAGGAACACCGGUGGCGAAGGCGGCUCACUGGACCGGUACUGACGCUGAUGCGCGAAAGCGUGGGGAGCAAACAGG